rnacentral:rRNA from 1 species
GACGAACGCUGGCGGCGUGCUUAACACAUGCAAGUCGAACGGAAAGGCCCUGCUUUUGUGGGGUGCUCGAGUGGCGAACGGGUGAGUAACACGUGAGUAACCUGCCCUUGACUUUGGGAUAACUUCAGGAAACUGAGGCUAAUACCGGAUAGGAGCUCCUGCUGCAUGGUGGGGGUUGGAAAGUUUCGGCGGUUGGGGAUGGACUCGCGGCUUAUCAGCUUGUUGGUGGGGUAGUGGCUUACCAAGGCUUUGACGGGUAGCCGGCCUGAGAGGGUGACCGGCCACAUUGGGACUGAGAUACGGCACAGACUCCUACGGGAGGCAGCAGUGGGGAAUAUUGCACAAUGGGCGGAAGCCUGAUGCAGCAACGCCGCGUGCGGGAUGACGGCCUUCGGGCUGUAAACCGCUUUCGCCUGUGACGAAGCGUGAGUGACGGUAAUGGGUAAAGAAGCACCGGCUAACUACGUG